rnacentral:rRNA from 1 species
AGCAUAUCAAUAAGCGGAGGAAAAGAAACCAACAGGGAUUGCCCCAGUAACGGCGAGUGAAGCGGCAACAGCUCAAAUUUGAAAUCUGGCCCCCAGGGCCCGAGUUGUAAUUUGCAGAGGAUGCUUUUGGCGCGGUGCCUUCCGAGUUCCCUGGAACGGGACGCCAUAGAGGGUGAGAGCCCCGUCUGGUCGGACGCCUAGCCUGUGUAAAGCUCCUUCGACGAGUCGAGUAGUUUGGGAAUGCUGCUCUAAAUGGGAGGUAUAUGUCUUCUAAAGCUAAAUACCGGCCAGAGACCGAUAGCGCACAAGUAGAGUGAUCGAAAGAUGAAAAGCACUUUGAAAAGAGGGUUAAAUAGUACGUGAAAUUGUUGAAAGGGAAGCGCUUGUGACCAGACUUGGGCCCGGUGGAUCAUCCAGCGUUCUCGCUGGUGCACUCCGCCGGGUUCAGGCCAGCAUCAGUUCGCCGCGGGGGAAAAAGGCUUCGGGAACGUGGCUCCUACGGGAGUGUUAUAGCCCGUUGCAUAAUACCCUGGGGCGGACUGAGGUUCGCGCUCCGCAAGGAUGCUGGCGUAAUGGUCAUCAGCGACCCGUCUUGAAACACGGACCAAGGAGUCGUCUUCGUAUGCGAGUGUUCGGGUGUAAAACCCCUACGCGUAAUGAAAGUGAACGCAGGUGAGAGCUUCGGCGCAUCAUCGACCGAUCCUGAUGUUCUCGGAUGGAUUUGAGUAAGAGCAUACGGGGCCGGACCCGAAAGAAGGUGAACUAUGCCUGUAUAGGGUGAAGCCAGAGGAAACUCUGGUGGAGGCUCGCAGCGGUUCUGACGUGCAAAUCGAUCGUCAAAUAUGGGCAUGGGGGCGAAAGACUAAUCGA